rnacentral:lncRNA from 1 species
AGCCGAUAGUUUUAAGAAUAUAAAAAUAAUAGGAGCGGUCUUAAGACUCGAAUGGACCAAAUUUAUAAAGACUGACAUACGGUGCUCCAGUUGUAUGAGGAUUGGGGGAUGCUAUCUCCCUACAAUGAAUAUGCGGUAUUUUCAAAAUUUCCUCGUAGAAGAAAUCCCAACAAUUAAAAUCAAUCGCUGACAAUCCCCCUGGUUUGAUUUUACAAGACGACCACGCUACCUUUUAAAGCUUUACUUCUAAUAAAAAACGUAGAACACUCUUGGGUAGGGUUGUCAACCAUCCCUUGAAAAACUGGAAAAUGAGUGGAGCAGCAGUUUUACUCUCUUUUCACUCAAAGACAAAUAACUCCUCACUUCAGCAAGAUCUCAGAAGAAGUACAAGUGGAAAAAGUUGGCUCUUCACAUAUUGUGGCACUGAGUUUUUUUUUGUUUUUUUUACUACAACACUUGCCUUCUGUCAAAGUCUUUGAAGCACAAAUAUGUUGAAAAAAUUUCAAAAGAUGCUCUAUAAAGAUACUAAGGAAAAUAGUGAGCUUUUGGAUGUCAAAUGGGAGCCUCAAAUAAAGGGAGUUGAACAAAAACUGGAUAUCAAAAAUCUAUCUUCCUAAAUGCCUAGUGUUAUUAUAUAUCUUAUCCUAAAAUGUAUUUAAAAUAUUCGAUGACAUCGUUAUAUAACCUUAUUUCCAUAUUGUUAGUAAAAAUGAACUGUGCCAUGGGAGGAAUAAGAUAUUUGUCUUUAAUUAUUGUACUUUUCUUGUCCCUAACCAAUCCAAAAAUAAAAUAAAAAAUCUACAAAUCUA